GACGAACGCUGGCGGCGUGCUUAACACAUGCAAGUCGAACGGAAAGGCCCUGCUUUUGUGGGGUUCUCGAGUGGCGAACGGGUGAGUAACACGUGAGUAACCUGCCCUUGACUUUGGGAUAACUUCAGGAAACUGGGGCUAAUACCGGAUAGGAGCUCCUGCUGCAUGGUGGGGGUUGGAAAGUUUCGGCGGCUGGGGAUGGACUCGCGGCUUAUCAGCUUGUUGGUGUGGUAGUGGCUUACCAAGGCUUUGACGGGUAGCCGGCCUGAGAGGGUGACCGGCCACAUUGGGACUGAGAUACGGCCCAGACUGCUACGGGAGGCAGCAGUGGGGAAUAUUGCACAAUGGGCGGAAGCCUGAUGCAGCAACGCCGCGUGCGGGAUGACGGCCUUCGGGUUGUAAACAGCUUUCGCCUGUGACGAAGCGUGAGUGACGGUAAUGGGUAAAGAAGCACCGGCUAACUACGUG
rnacentral:rRNA from 1 species